rnacentral:lncRNA from 1 species
GUGGGUAGUACGGUAGGGCCUGCUGCAGAAUACUGGUCUGAUGUAGGUGGGUAGUACGGUAGGGCCUGCUGCAGAAUACUGGUCUGAUGUAGGUGGGUAGUACGGUAGGGCCUGCUGCAGAAUACUGGUCUGAUGUAGGUGGGUAGUACGGUAGGGCCUGCUGCAGAAUACUGGUCUGAUGUAGGUUGGCUGGGCUACUAGAGGUAGAUGGGUCUGGUUGGCUGGGCUACUAGAGGUAGAUGGGUCUGGUUGGCUGGGCUACUAGAGGUAGAUGGCUCUGGUUGGCUGGGCUACUAGAGGUAGAUGGGUCUGGUUGGCUGGGCUACUAGUGGUAGAUGGCUCUGGUUGGCUGGGCUACUAGAGGUAGAUGGCUCUGGUUGGCUGGGCUACUAGAGGUAGAUGGCUCUGGUUGGCUGGGCUAUCUCUCUAUUUUCUCUCUCUCGCUAACUCUCUCUGUUCUCUCUUUGUAUUUCUCUUUGUAUUUCUCUUUGUAUCUCUCUUUGUAUCUCUCUAUUUUCUCUCUCUCGCUAACUCUCUCUGUUCUCUCUUACUAUCUCUCUUUCUAUCUCUUUGUUGUCUCUUUGUUCUCUCUUACUAUCUCUCUUUCUAUCUCUUUGUUGUCUCUUUGUUCUCUCUUACUAUCUCUCUGGUUUCUCUUAUCACUUUAUAUCUAGACUUUGAAUGAUGAAUUGAAAUGGAAUGGACUUCUUGAUAACUACAAAAGGACAAAAGCAGCAGGUAAUAAAGUGAGGGAACUAGAAGGUAAAUGACCCCAACUCAUGUAAAAGUUAUUCAUAGAGUUCAAUAUGUAUUCAACCAGUUGAAUUGACCUGUUGUACAGGUUAGCAUGCCAACAACUGUUUGUUACAACUCCUCCAGUCCACC